rnacentral:rRNA from 1 species
AACGAACGCUGGCGGCAGGCUUAACACAUGCAAGUCGAGCGCGUAGCAAUACGAGCGGCAGACGGGUGAGUAACGCGUGGGAAUCUACCCAACCCUACGGAAUAACCCAGGGAAACUUGGACUAAUACCGUAUACGCCCUUUGGGGGAAAGAUUUAUCGGGGAUGGAUGAGCCCGCGUUGGAUUAGCUAGUUGGUGGGGUAAAGGCCUACCAAGGCGACGAUCCAUAGCUGGUCUGAGAGGAUGAUCAGCCACAUUGGGACUGAGACACGGCCCAAACUCCUACGGGAGGCAGCAGUGGGGAAUAUUGGACAAUGGGCGCAAGCCUGAUCCAGCCAUGCCGCGUGAGUGAUGAAGGCCCUAGGGUUGUAGAGCUCUUUCACCGGAGAAGAUAAUGACGGUAUCCGGAGAAGAAGCCCCGGCUAACUUCGUGCCAGCAGCCGCAGUAACAC